ensembl:lncRNA
GUCUUUUCUAGUUUGCAUGAAAAUAAUGACAGGCAUCUAUUUUACACAGCCACCACAGGCAAACAGUUGACUCAUCCAACAAAGGCUUAUAAUAAGGACAUAAUCGUAAUAUGAUAAUAUGGUUCAGAUUCAUGGUUUGGGUUUGCAAUGCAGGUGAUUUUGAAUAAAGCCCUCUUUGGGUCAACAAGCCACAAUUGUGUGGUCUGUCAAGAUGGGGAGGAUGACUGUGCAUGUUGAGAUCAACAUUUAGAUCUGCAUUCUGAUUGGACUGUUACCAGUGGACAUGGAGGAAGGGGCUCUUUAUAAGAGUGAAACUAGAAACAACGUGUCAUCUUCAGAAGUGUCUUUGUGAGCUGAAAAACUUCCGUCCUUCACAGAGCAGAGCAACAUGUUUUGUAUGCUGUGGAUCGUCUUUCAGACAAUGUCUCUCCUGGUGGAAGCUGGAGGACAGUCUUCAGGUAGUGGUGAGGCUGGUGGUGGCAAUGGAGGAGUUGUGAAUGGAGGCAUGGUCGUUAACGCUGUUAAACCAGGGGUUAUGAAUGGGCUUGUCUUAAAUGGGCAACCCUUUCUGGCACAGGUGAUACCACUUGGUCAGGCUGCCAUGCCCCAGCUGGUCCCCAUUGGUGCACUUCAGCAAGGUGGGGCACUUCCUAUAGGACAGGCGGGAGCAGCCAAUGGAGUGCCACUACAACAAGGACAGCUUCCUCAACUAGCCAAUAGGGUUGUACCAUUAUUUGCAGUUCUGCCACAGGCAAAUGGCAUCGGAGGCCCCCAGGCCCCAAUGUUGAUGCAGAUUAUUCCUGUGGGUGGAGGAAACAACCUUCAGCAGCCAGCGGCUGGAGGGAAGGCAAGAAAAGCUAGAGUCAAGCAUUCAGUUCCUUUUCAUGGAAUGCCCACAUCAACAAGAACAGAUACUCCACUGACCAAGGUGAUUGCUGGGGAGGUGGAAGAAUCCUCUGGCUCUGACACCAGUGAAUGCUGAAGUGAGGCUGAGCCUCUGAAACCUGGACAGCAUUCUAACUAGGGUUGCACAUUUCUAGUAACUGGGACUUCUGGAAAGUGUGAAAGUUACCAGAAUCUUGCAACCGAAAAUAAAGUAUUUAAAUACCAGAAUCUCAUCAAAUUGCCAAUUCCAGAUGACAAAUUACCUCUACUGGCAGGUUGUACAAUUCCCGGGUGCGCCACUACAACUUGUUGUGUUGCCCUCUUGUUUGUCUCCCCCUCUUCAAAAUCUAUCUCUGAAUAAACGUUAUGAAAGAAAAGUGGAAUUCCAGUCUCCUUUGAGCAAAACUAAAACUAGAUUAACAGGCUGGCUGCAAUCUCGACUGUGUGCCCAUUUUCCAUGUUUUGUAAUGGCGUUCCUGAUGUACUGGAAAUGUUGUUAUCACAGCUGAUGUCUUUGAAUAAAUUAUUAAACGGAUGGCAAGCUUUGAAAGUUGUAUCUCU